AGAGUUUGAUCCUGGCUCAGAUUGAACGCUGGCGGUAUGCUUUACACAUGCAAGUCGAACGGCAGCACGGGGCAACCUGGUGGCGAGUGGCGAACGGGUGAGUAACAUAUCGGAACAUAUCCGGAAGUGGGGGAUAACGUAGCGAAAGUUACGCUAAUACCGCAUAUGCCCUGAGGGGGAAAGGAGGGGAUCGCAAGACCUCUCGCUUUCGGAGUGGCCGAUAUCGGAUUAGCUAGAUGGUGAGGUAAAGGCUCACCUAGGCGACGAUCCGUAGCGGGUCUGAGAGGACGACCCGCCACACUGGAACUGAGACACGGUCCAGACUCCUACGGGAGGCAGCAGUGGGGAAUUUUGGACAAUGGGCGAAAGCCUGAUCCAGCCAUACCGCGUGAGUGAAGAAGGCCUUCGGGUUGUAAAGCUCUUUCAGCCGGAAAGAAAUCGUGCUUCUUAAUACGAAGUAUGGAUGACGGUACCGGAAGAAGAAGCACCGGCUAACUACGUGCCAGCAGCCGCGGUAAUACGUAGGGUGCGAGCGUUAAUCGGAAUUACUGGGCGUAAAGCGUGCGCAGGCGGUUUUUUAAGCCAGAUGUGAAAUCCCCGGGCUCAACCUGGGAACUGCAUUUGGAACUGGAAGACUAGAGUGUAGCAGAGGGGGGUAGAAUUCCACGUGUAGCAGUGAAAUGCGUAGAUAUGUGGAGGAAUACCGAUGGCGAAGGCAGCCCCCUGGGUUAACACUGACGCUCAUGCACGAAAGCGUGGGGAGCAAACAGGAUUAGAUACCCUGGUAGUCC
rnacentral:rRNA from 1 species